rnacentral:lncRNA from 1 species
GGAAUCUUGAUUAAUUAAAUCGAAAUAUAAUUAUCACAAAUUUUGCUCCUUUUUAUACAUGUCUUCCAUUUCUCCUUCACCUUCACAAUUCUCUCAUUAUCUCAUAAUCUCUCUCUCUCUCUCACUCUAAAACCUCAAGAAGAAGAAGCAUUCUACAAGAAGAAACAGAGAGAAAAGGAGAUAUGGGUUCCAAGAUCGUCCAAGUUUUCUUGAUGUUGGCUCUAUUCGCCACUUCAGCUCUUGCUCAAGCCCCUGCUCCUACUCCCACCGCAACUCCUCCACCCCNNN